GUGUUCACGCAGCAGUAGUGUCUUCGCCAGCAAGGUCAAUCCAAGGUAUGAUAUUUGCUCACUGAAAACUGUUGCAAUAUACUUCCCUCAUGAUUAGAAGUACAGUCAGCACCGGCAAUUUUUGACGACCUCUAAGGAGA
rfam:Cathartes aura contig163880, whole genome shotgun sequence.